CUUCCAGGGUCAGUGUUUGAGUGAUGGGUAGGAAGUCUCACCUGUAAUGCACUUCAGGUUGCAUAUUUCCUUUCAGUGUUUUAUCACAGAAGCAGUUGGGAUUUUCAUAAAAGCAGACACACCUUUUAGAGGUGGAAAUUGAGAAGUGAAGGAUCAAAGUUUGGGGCUUGAGGGGACUUUAGAGAAUAGGUGAGGAAACUGAGGCUAGGAUGACCUGGCCAUGGUCACUGUGAGA
rnacentral:lncRNA from 1 species